CAGGGGGAUCAUUUUUCGCUCAACUAGUAGGUCCCCUUGCUCUCCAACUUACCAGGGUGGUCUUUUUUUGUGGUGAAGUUUUAUUUUAGAGAGAUAUUAAAAGUUAAAUUGACCAAUGAGCAUCAGAAGAUGGUUUGAUUGACAGUUGGGAUUCUUUUCAGUCAGGCGCACGCUGAGCAAGAGGGCCGUCGUCAUGACUACUACUUGGCUGUGCGAGCCUGGGGGACUGGGAAAUCUUGUCUAUCUGUGUGUUGCUCCUGAUAUUACUUUCAUAAACUUUGAACAUCAACUCUAUCGAUUGAUCUACUGUUGCCAUUGUUUGGAUCUCCUUGUGAAGUCGGGUGUACUUAUCGGUACUCUGAGCUGGAGCGCUGAUGUUUAGAUGCGAUGUCCCAACAAGAAUCUGUCAGUAGGCUACCACAUUACACCUCAGCAGGCACACCAGAGAAGGACCACUCCUGGAUAAGGAUUUGAGCCACUGCCACGACUGCCAUCUCUACACUAUAUUACACACGCCAGCAGAUGUGGGAGGUGGUGAUCAACGUGACCCGUCAGCAGGUGGAGGACUUCCACGGCCCCGCGGACUACUGAUUACUGUGUGUGGCCUAGAGUCACCCGAGGACCUCCAAGAGCUGGCAAGGACACCAUCCGCGUCGCCCAACAUGGACAAACCAAAUCUGACAGGGUGCCCAUCAUCAGCUGCUGUGACGGGCCUUCCAUGGUGUUGCUGUGGUUAUUGCAAGGACAAACAAAAACUGUUUUGUUUGGUUUAUACAAACCAAAACAAUAUGUAAAUAAACUACACAAUUUGUACUGCUAAAUCCUGAAAUUGUAAGUAGUUAUUAAGUAAUGCCCGUAUGAAGUAUUAAGCACUAUAUAAAAAUACAUUACACAUACGUAAAA